rnacentral:rRNA from 1 species
GUGCCAGACUCCUACGGGAGGCAGCAGUGGGGGAUAUUGCACAAUGGGGGAAACCCUGAUGCAGCGACGCCGCGUGAGUGAAGAAGUAAUUCGUUACGUAAAGCUCUAUCAGCAGGGAAGAAAAUGACGGUACCUGACUAAGAAGCCCCGGCUAACUACGUGCCAGCAGCCGCGGUAAUACGUAGGGGGCAAGCGUUAUCCGGAAUUACUGGGUGUAAAGGGAGCGCAGACGGCAGUGCAAGUCUGGAGUGAAAGCCCGUGGCUCAACCCCGGGACUGCAUUUGAAACUGUCAGGCUGGAGUGCAGGAGAGGUAAGUGGAAUUCCUAGUGUAGCGGUGAAAUGCGUAGAUAUUAGGAGGAACACCAGUGGCGAAGGCGGCUUACUGGACUGUAACUGACGUUGAGGCUCGAAAGCGUGGGGAGCAAACAGGAUUAGAUACCCUAGUA